AAUAAAAUGCCUGAUUAAAAGGGCUAUCUUGAUAGGAUAAAAAAUGUGAAAUUCACUUUUAUUA
rnacentral:tRNA from 1 species